UGGGGAAUAUUGGACAAUGGGCGAAAGCCUGAUCCAGCCAUGCCGCGUGUGUGAAGAAGGUCUUCGGAUUGUAAAGCACUUUAAGUUGGGAGGAAGGGCAGUAAGCUAAUACCUUGCUGUUUGACGUACCGACAGA
rnacentral:rRNA from 1 species